rnacentral:rRNA from 1 species
ACCCAAAAAGACAGUCUCAGUUCGGAUUGAAGGCUGAAAUUCGCCUUCAUGAAGCCGGAAUUGCUAGUAAUGGCAGGUCAGCAUACUGCCGUGAAUACGUUCCCGGGCCUUGUACACACCGCCCGUCACACCAUGAGAGUUGGGGAUACCCGAAGCCUGUGAGCUAACAGUAAUGAAGCAGCAGUCGAAGGUAGAAUCAAUGAUUGGGGUGAAGUCGUAACAAGGUAUC